rnacentral:rRNA from 1 species
AGUGGGGAAUCUUGGACAAUGGGGGAAACCCUGAUCCAGCCAUGCCGCGUGAUCGAUGAAGGCCUUAGGGUUGUAAAGAUCUUUCAGCUGGGAAGAUAAUGACGGUACCAGCAGAAGAAGCCCCGGCUAACUCCGUGCCAGCAGCCGCGGUAAUACGGAGGGGGCUAGCGUUGUUCGGAAUUACUGGGCGUAAAGCGCACGUAGGCGGAUCAGUCAGUCAGGGGUGAAAUCCCGGGGCUCAACCCCGGAACUGCCUUUGAUACUGCUGAUCUGGAGGAUGAGAGAGGCGAGUGGAAUUCCGAGUGUAGAGGUGAAAUUCGUAGAUAUUCGGAGGAACACCAGUGGCGAAGGCGGCUCGCUGGCUCAUUACUGACGCUGAGGUGCGAAAGCGUGGGGAGCAAA